GUUGGAGCGUAUCUCCUGUCGAAGAACAUCUCUAGACAUUAUGAACCAUCUGUCUAAGACUGAAAAUCAUCAAUAAACCAAAAGUUUGGUUUAGCUCCAACCCCAAUUAAGCAGACCUGAGCAGCUGAUCAAAGAUCACCAGAAACUCUGCAGAA